rnacentral:rRNA from 1 species
AGGGGGACCUUCGGGCCUCUUGCCAUCGGAUGUGCCCAGAUGGGAUUAGCUAGUAGGUGGGGUAACGGCUCACCUAGGCGACGAUCCCUAGCUGGUCUGAGAGGAUGACCAGCCACACUGGAACUGAGACACGGUCCAGACUCCUACGGGAGGCAGCAGUGGGGAAUAUUGCACAAUGGGCGCAAGCCUGAUGCAGCCAUGCCGCGUGUAUGAAGAAGGCCUUCGGGUUGUAAAGUACUUUCAGCGGGGAGGAAGGGAGUAAAGUUAAUACCUUUGCUCAUUGACGUUACCCGCAGAAGAAGCACCGGCUAACUCCGUGCCAGCAGCCGCGGUAAUACGGAGGGUGCAAGCGUUAAUCGGAAUUACUGGGCGUAAAGCGCACGCAGGCGGUUUGUUAAGUCAGAUGUGAAAUCCCCGGGCUCAACCUGGGAACUGCAUCUGAUACUGGCAAGCUUGAGUCUCGUAGAGGGGGGUAGAAUUCCAGGUGUAGCGGUGAAAUGCGUAGAGAUCUGGAGGAAU